AGACAAGACACACAGCAGUCACAGAGCUGCAAGUUCAACAGGUACAUAGUCUGCCUCCAAGACAUCACAGGGAAACACCUCUUCACUGCUACAACCAUCAAUAUCACCUUCUGUGGAAGAGUUUCCUCCAACCUUUCCUGCUCCCUUAGCCAAAUGGAUGGAAAUAGGAGAAAAUGCACAACAACAUAAAAGGAUCCUAUCCAGGACACCACAUUACAUUUAAUCACCAUGUCUCUUUAGCCUCAUCUGGUCUGUGUCAGUUUCUUAGAGCAUCCUUGUUUUUUUAUGACCUUGAUAGCUUUGAAGAACCCUGGCCAGGUAUCUUGUAGAAUCUUCCUCAAUUUGAGUUUGUCUCAUGUUUUUCUCAUGAUUAUACUAAGGUUAUGAGUUUUAGGGAAGAAUACCACAGAGGUGAAGUACCAUUCUUAUCUGCCCUUAUCAAAGGUACAUACUCAGUAUUUAACACUGUUGAUGCUAAUCUUGAUUACUUGGCCUGGAGGUAGUGUUUGUCAGUUUUCUUUACUGUAAAUCACUCCCUCAUUCCAACGCUAUACUCUUUGGAAGAAAGUCCCAAAGACAUCACUAUGCUAAACUCAUAGCAGUGAAAUCACUGGGUCAAAAGUACAUCCUGUAACAUUUUGAUAGAUAUUGACAAACUGCAAUUCAAAAAGGUUACUGCAACAUAUACUGCCACCGACAACGUAUGAGAAUGUCUUUUCUCCACACAAUUGACAAUAAAGUGUAUUAUUAAGCUUUAUUUUUGCCAAUCAGAUAGGUGAAAAAAGGUACCUCAAUGUUUAAAUGUUCAUGAGUUUAAUUAUGAGUGAUAUCAAUUGUAUUUUCAUAUAUUUAUAAGUAUUUAGAACUUUUGUAUGUGUAUAAACUGCCUAGUCAUACCAUUUGUCCUUUCUUUUCUAUUGGGUUAUCAGUAUUUUUCUUAUUGGUUUGUAAGAGCUCUUUAUAUAUUAAGAA